rnacentral:rRNA from 1 species
GACGAACGCUGGCGGCGUGCUUAACACAUGCAAGUCGAACGGAAAGGCCCUGCUUUUGUGGGGUGCUCGAGUGGCGAACGGGUGAGUAACACGUGAGAAACCUGCCCUUGACUUUGGGAUAACUUCAGGAAACUGGGGCUAAUACCGGAUAGGAGCUCCUGCUGCAUGGUGGGGGUUGGAAAGUUUCGGCGGUUGGGGAUGGACUCGCGGCUUAUCAGCUUGUUGGUGGGGUAGUGGCUUACCAAGGCUUUGACGGGUAGCCGGCCUGAGAGGGUGACCGGCCACAUUGGGACUGAGAUACGGCCCAGACUCCUACGGGAGGCAGCAGUGGGGAAUAUUGCACAAUGGGCGGAAGCCUGAUGCAGCAACGCCGCGUGCGGGAUGACGGCCUUCGGGUUGUAAACCGCCUUCGCCUGUGACGAAGCGUGAGUGACGGUAAUGGGUAAAGAAGCACCGGCUAACUACGUG